rnacentral:rRNA from 1 species
AUUGAACGCUGGCGGCAAGCCUAACACAUGCAAGUCGAACGAGUGGCGGACGGGUGAGUAAUGUCUGGGAAACUGCCUGAUGGAGGGGGAUAACUACUGGAAACGGUAGCUAAUCCCGCAUACCAUCGGAUGUUCCCAGAUGGGAUUAGCUAGUAGGUGGGGUAAAGGCUCACCUAGGCGACGAUCCCUAGCUGGUCUGAGAGGAUGACCAGCCACACUGGAACUGAGACACGGUCCAGACUCCUACGGGAGGCAGCAGUGGGGAAUAUUGCGCAAUGGGCGCAAGCCUGAUAGAGCCACGCCGCGUGUAUGAAGAAGGCCUUCGGGUUGUAAAGUACUUUCAGCGGGGAGGCGUUACCCGCAGAAGAAGCACCGGCUAACUCCGUGCCAGCAGCCGCGGUAAUUC